UACAGAGGGUGCGAGCGUUAAUCGGAAUUACUGGGCGUAAAGCGUGCGUAGACGGUUAUUUAAGUCGGAUGUGAAAGCCCCGGGCUCAACCUGGGAAUUGCAUUCGAGACUGAAUAGCUAGGGUACGGUAGAGGGAAGUGGAAUUUCCGGUGUAGCGGUGAAAUGCGUAGAUAUCGGAAGGAACAUCAGUGGUGAAAACAGACAGCUGGGAGUGUGCUGACGCUGAGACACGAAAGCCAGGGGAGCGAACGGG
rnacentral:rRNA from 1 species